rnacentral:rRNA from 1 species
UCCGUAGGUGAACCUGCGGAGGGAUCAUUACCGAGUUUACAACUCCCAAACCCCUGUGAACAUACCUAUACGUUGCCUCGGCGGAUCAGCCCGCGCCCCGUAAAACGGGACGGCCCGCCCGAGGACCCUAAACUCUGUUUUUAGUGGAACUUCUGAGUAAAACAAACAAAUAAAUCAAAACUUUCAACAACGGAUCUCUUGGUUCUGGCAUCGAUGAAGAACGCAGCAAAAUGCGAUAAGUAAUGUGAAUUGCAGAAUUCAGUGAAUCAUCGAAUCUUUGAACGCACAUUGCGCCCGCCAGUAUUCUGGCGGGCAUGCCUGUUCGAGCGUCAUUUCAACCCUCAAGCUCAGCUUGGUGUUGGGACUCGCGGUAACCCGCGUUCCCCAAAUCGAUUGGCGGUCACGUCGAGCUUCCAUAGCGUAGUAAUCAUACACCUCGUUACUGGUAAUCGUCGCGGCCACGCCGUUAAACCCCAACUUCUGAAUGUUGACCUCGGAUCAGGCAUAUCAAUAAGCGGAGGA